rnacentral:rRNA from 2 species
UUCGGUGGCCAUUGCGAAGGGGAGACACCCGGCUCCAUGUCGAACCCGGCAGUUAAGCCCUUCAGCGCCGAUGGUACUCCGGGGGGAACCCGCGGGAGAGUAGGUCGCUGCCGAAA